rnacentral:lncRNA from 1 species
UGAGGGGCACUGUGGGGCUGACCUUAUAAGACCUGAAUGAUGUAUUCCUGCCUGUCCAUGGGUACAGAGGAGAGGUUCUGGGUCUCUCAGGACCUAGGCCCCUUUUCAGAGUAUGGGUGGGUGUGAUUUGACCCCAAAGUCACUUUCAGGGGUGUUUUAAAAUUUUGUACAAGCCAGAGCCUCCCAUCCCUAACUCCUGGCUGUGUACUACCACAUCCUCUAACUGUGCCCUCACCCAUCACAGGGCUCUCUCACUGUGCACAGGGUGAGGUGCCUGCUGGACACAGACUGUGGAUCCACUGUCUUCCUAGAGAAGGCCACAUGGCCCACAGACUUUAGGCACCGCCCACAGGUCUUUAGACCCCACCCACAUACUUUAGCCACAGGACUUUACAAGCCCAUAGAUUUUAGGCACCACUCACAGUCUUUAGGCACUAAACACAGGUUUUGGCCCUGCCCACAGACCUCUAGGCCCUGCCUACUGACAUUAGGCACCGCCCACAGGCCUUUAGGCCCCAGCACAGAUUUCAGGCUCCGCCCACAGGCCUCUAGGCACCCCCCCCCACCCUCACAAAUAAACUUUAGGGAUGGCCCAUAGACUUUAAGCGCCACCCACAGGCCUUUAAGCCCUGCUUACAGAUUUUAGGCCCGCUCACAGACCUGUAGGCCUCGCCCACAGAUUUUAGGCACUGCCCACAGGCCUUUAGGCCCCGGACACAGACUUUAGGUACCACACACACUUCUAUAAGCCAUGCCCACAGACAUUUGGCAACACCCAGAGGCCUUAAGGCCCUGCCCACAGCACAGACUUUAGGCCUCACCCACAGCCUUUUAGGCUCCACCCACACUUAAUUAGGCCCCGCCCAUAAAUUUUAGGUCCCACCCACAGAGUUUAGGCAUUGCCCACACUUUUUUAGCCCUGCCCACAGACUUCAGGCCCCGCCCACAGGCCUUUAGCAUGGUAUCUGAGGGAGGCACAGUGUAGAACAUGGUAUCUGAGGCACGCACACUGUAGAACAUGGUAUAUGAGGGAAGUACACUAUAGAGCAUGAUAUAUGAGGGAAGCCAUUCUAGAAUAUGUUAUCUGAGGGAGGCACAUGGUAUAAUAUGGUGUCUGAGGGAGGCAAGCUGUAGAGCAUGGUACCUGUGGGACAUGUCUAUACCCAAGGUGUAGUGGAACAUGUCUAUACUCUAGCUGUAGUGGGAUAUGUGUAUAGUCUAGGUGUAGGGAACAUGUCUAUAUUCUAGGUGUAGUGGUUCAUAACUAUAGUCUAUAUAUAGUGGGACAUGCCUAUACUCUAAGUGUAGUGGAAAUAUCUACAGAAUAGGUGUAAUGGGACAUGUCUAUAGUCUAGGUGCAUUGGGACAUGUCUAUAGUCUAGGUGUAGUGGUUCAUAACUAUAGUAUAGGUAUAGUGGGAAAUUUCUAUAGUAUAUGUGUGGUGCUUAAUGUCCAAAGUGUAGGUGGAGUAGGACAUGUAUAUUAUCUAAGUGUAGUGCUUCAUGUCUAUAGUCUAGGUGUAGAGGAACAUGUCUAUAGUUAGGAUGUAGUGGGACAUGUCUAUAGACUUCGUGUAGUGGGAAAUGUCUAUACUCUAGGUGUAGUGGGACAUGUCUACAAUCUAGGUGUAGUGGGACAUGUAUAUAAUCUAGGUGUAGUGGGACAUGUCUAUAGUCUAGGUGUAGUGCUUCAUGUCUACAAUCUAGGUGUAGUGGGACAUGUCUAUAGUCUAGGUGUAGUGGGACAUGUCUGUAGUCUAGGUAUAGAGGGACAUGCCAAUACUGUAUGUGUAGUUAUUCAUGCCUUUAGAUUAGGUAGAGUGGUUCAUUUCUAUAGUCUAGGUGUAGUGGGGCAUGUCUAUAGUAGGUGUAAUGGGAGAAGUCUAUAGUCUAAGUGUAGUGUGAUACACUCUAGCUGAAGUGAGACUUGUCUAUAGUCUAGGUGUAUUGGGACAUGUCUAUAGUCUAGGUGUAGUGGCACAUGUAUAUACUGUAUGUGUAGUGGUUCAUGUCUAUACUCUAGGUAUAGUUGGACAUGUCUAUAGUCUAGGUGUAGUGGGAAAUGUCUAUAGUCUAGGUGUAGUGAGACAUGAUUAUACUCUAGAUUAUAGUCUAGGUGUAGUGGGACAUGUCUAUAGGUGUAGUUGGACAGGUCUUUCGUCUAGGUGUAGUGCUUCAUGUCUAUAGACUAGGUGUAGUGGUUCAUGUCUAUACUCUAGGUGUAGUGAGACUUGGCUAUACUCUAGGUGUAGUGGGACAUGUCUACAAUCUAGUUGUAGUGGUUCAUGUCUGUAGUCUAGGUGUAGUUGGACAUGUCUUUAGUCCUGGUGUAGUGGAAAAUGGAUAUAGUCUAGAAGUAGUGGGAUAUGACUAUAAUCUAGGUGUAGUGGGACAUGUCUAUAGUCUAGGUGUAGUGGGACAUGUCUGUAGUCUAGAUAUAGAGGGACAUGCCAAUACUCUAUGUGUAGUUUUUCAUGCCUUUAGAUUAGGUAUAGUGGUUCAUUUCUAUAGUCUAGGUGUAGUGGGGCAUGUCUAUAGUCUAGGGGUAGUGGGACAUGUUUAUUCUCUAGUUUAUACUCUAGGUGUAGUGGGACAUGUCUAUAUUCUAGGUGUAGUGGGACAGGUCUAUAAUAUAGGUGUAGUGGAACAUGUCUAUAGUGUAUGUGUAGUGGUUCAUGUCAACAGUCUAGGUGUAGUGGGGCAUGUCUAUAAUCUAGGUGUAGUGGGACAGGUCUAUAAUCUAGGUGUAGUUGGACGUGUCUUUAGUCUUUGUGUAGUGGAACAUGUUUAUAGUCUAGGUGUAGUGGUUCAUAACUGUUGUCUAGUUAUAGUAGUACAUGUCUACAUUCUAGGUGUAGUGGGACAUGUCUAUAAACUAGGUGUAUUGGUAUAUGUCUAUAGUCCAAUGUAGUGGGACAUGCCUAUAGUCUAAGUGUAGUGGAAAUGUCUACAGACUAGGUGUAAUGGGACAUGUCUGUAGUCUAGGUGUAUUGGGACAUGUCUAUAACCUAGGUGUAGUAGUUCAUAACUAUAGUCUAGGUAUAGUGGGACAUGUCUAUAGUCUUUGUGUGGUGCUUCAUGCCUAAAGUCUAGGUGUAGUGGGACAUGUAUAUUAUCUAGGUUUGGUGCUUAAUUUCUAUAAUCUAGGUGUAGUGGAACAUGUCUAUAGUCAGGGUGUAGUGGGACAUAUUUAUCGACUUUUUGUAGUGGGAAACAUCUCUACUCUAGGUGUAGUGGGACAUGUCUAUAGUCUAGGUGUAGUGGGACAUGUCUGUAGUCUAGGUGUAGAGGGACAUGUCAAUACUGUAUGUGUAGUUGUUCAUGCCUUUAGACUAGGUAUAGUGGUUCAUUUCUAUAGUCUAGGUGUAGCGGGGUAUUUCUAUAGUCUAGGUGUAAUGGGAGAAGUCUAUAGUCUAAGUGUAGUGCGAUAUUUCUAUGCUCUAGCUGAAGUGAGACUUGUCUAUAGUCUGGGUGUAUUGGGACAUGUCUACAGUCUUGGUGUAGUGGCACAUGUAUAUACUGUAUGUGUAGUGGUUAAUGUCUAUACUCUAGGUAUAGUUGGACAAGUCUAUAGACUAGGUGUAGUGGGAAAUGUCUAUAGUCUAGGUGUAGUGAGACAUGAUUAUACUCUAGUUUAUAGUCUAGGUGUAGUGGGAUAUGUCUACAAUCUAGGUGUAAUGGGACAUGUCUAUAGUCUAAGCGUUCUGGGACAUGUCUAUAGUCUAGGAUCAGUGGGACUUUUGUACAGUCUAAGUGUAGAAGGACAUGUCAAUAGUGUACGUGUAGUUGUUCAUGUCUAUCGAUUAGGUAGAGUCAUUCAUGUCUGUAGUAUAGGUGUAGUGGGACAUGUCUGUAAUCUAUGUUUAGUGGGAGAUGUCUAUAGUCUAGGCAUAGUGCUUCAUGUCUGUUAUCUUGGUGAAGUGCGAUAUUUCCACACUCUAGCUGUAGUGAGACAUGUUUAUAGUCUAGGUGUAGUGGGGCAUGUCUAUAGUCUAGGUGUAGUGGCACAUACCUAUACUUUAUUGCAGUGGUUCAUUUCUAUUCUCUAGGUGAAUUGGGACAUGUCUAUAGUCUAGUUGUAGUGCUUCAUGUCUAUAUUCCUGGUGUAGUGGAGCAUAUCUAUAGUCUAGGUGUAGUGGUUCAUUUAUAUAGGCUAACUGUAGUGGGACAAGUCUAUAGUGUAGGUGUAGUGGGGCAUGUCUAUAGUCUUGGUGUAGUGGUUCAUGUUUAUAGUCUAGUUGUAAUGGUACAUGUCUAUAGUCUAGGUGUAGUGCUUCCUGUCUAGAGUCUAUGUGUAGUGGGAAAUGUCCAUAAACUAUGUGUAGUUGGACGUGUCUUUAGUCUUUUUAAAGUGAGAAAUGUCUCCAGACAAGAUGUAGUGGUUCACAACUAUAAUCUUGGUAUAGUGGUUCAUGUCUAUAGUCUAUGUGUAGUUGGACAUGUCUAUAGUCUUGGUGUAGUAGAACAUGUCUGUAGUGUAGGUAUAUUGGGACAUGCCUAUAUUCUACAUGUAGUGGGACAUUUCUAUGGUCUAGGUGUAGUGGGACAUGUCUAUGGUCUAGGUGUAGUGGGACAUGUCUAUGGUCUAGGUGUAGUGGAAAAAGUCUAUAGUCUAGGUGUAGAGGGACAUGUCUAUAGUGUAGGUGUAAUAGUUCUCGUCAGUAGUCUAUUUGUAGUGGGGCAUGUCAACAGUCUAGG